rnacentral:rRNA from 1 species
CUACGGGAGGCAGCAGUGGGGAAUAUUGGACAAUGGGGGAAACCCUGAUCCAGCAAUGCCGCGUGUGUGAAGAAGGCCUUUUGGUUGUAAAGCACUUUAAGCAGGGAGGAGAGGCUAAUGGUUAAUACCCAUUAGAUUAGACGUUACCUGCAGAAUAAGCACCGGCUAACUCUGUGCCAGCAGCCGCGGUAAUACAGAGGGUGCGAGCGUUAAUCGGAAUUACUGGGCGUAAAGCGAGUGUAGGUGGCUCAUUAAGUCACAUGUGAAAUCCCCGGGCUUAACCUGGGAACUGCAUGUGAUACUGGUGGUGCUAGAAUAUGUGAGAGGGAAGUAGAAUUCCAGGUGUAGCGGUGAAAUGCGUAGAGAUCUGGAGGAAUACCGAUGGCGAAGGCAGCUUCCUGGCAUAAUAUUGACACUGAGAUUCGAAAGCGUGGGUAGCAAACAGGAUUAGAUACCCCCGUAGUC